rnacentral:rRNA from 1 species
UCACAUUGAGAUUAUGCCUGGAAUGGUUCUCCACUUAAAUGUUCCGAAGCCUACGGAUGGAUCUGCGGCCGAUUACGUAGUUGGUGGGGUCAAGGGCCACCAAGCCGCUGAUCGGUACGGGUUGUGAGAGCAAGAGCCCGGAGAUGGAACCUGAGACAAGGGUCCAGGCCCUACGGGGCGCACCAGGCGCGAAACCUCCGCAAUGCGCGCAAGUGCGACGGGGGGACCCCAAGUGCCACUCUUAACGGUGUGGCUUUUCUAGAGUGUAAAAAGCUUUAUGAAUAAGAGCUGGGCAAGACCGGUGCCAGCAGCCGCGGAAUACGAUAUA